GACAGAGGGUGCAAACGUUGCUCGGAAUCACUGGGCGUAAAGGGCGUGUAGGCGGGAAGGAAAGUCAGAUGUGAAAUCCCCAGGCUCAACCUGGGAACUGCAUUUGAAACUCCCUUUCUUGAGUGUCGGAGAGGAAAGCGGAAUUCCUGGUGUAGAGGUGAAAUUCGUAGAUAUCAGGAGGAACACCAGCGGCGAAGGCGGCUUUCUGGACGAUAACUGACGCUGAGACGCGAAAGCGUGGGGGAGCAAACAGG
rnacentral:rRNA from 1 species